rnacentral:rRNA from 1 species
CGCAGCCUGAUCCAGCCAUACCGCGUGGGUGAAGAAGGCCUUCGGGUUGUAAAGCCCUUUUGUUGGGAAAGAAAAGCAGCCGGCUAAUACCCGGUUGUUCUGACGGUACCCAAAGAAUAAGCACCGGCUAACUUCGUGCCAGCAGCCGCGGUAAUACGAAGGGUGCAAGCGUUACUCGGAAUUACUGGGCGUAAAGCGUGCGUAGGUGGUUGUUUAAGUCUGUCGUGAAAGCCCUGGGCUCAACCUGGGAACUGCGAUGGAAACUGGGCGACUAGAGUGUGGUAGAGGGUAGCGGAAUUCCUGGUGUAGCAGUGAAAUGCGUAGAUAUCAGGAGGAACAUCCAUGGCGAAGGCAGCUACCUGGGCCAACACUGACACUGAGGCACGAAAGCGUGGGGAGCAAACAGGAUUAGAUA